UACGUAGGUGACAAGCGUUGUCCGGAUUUACUGGGCGUAAAGAGCGCGCAGGCGGUCGUUCAAGUCGAGUGUGAAAGCCCCCGGCUCAACUGGGGAGGGUCAUUCGAUACUGAUCGACUCGAAGGCAGGAGAGGGAAGUGGAAUUCCCGGUGUAGUGGUGAAAUGCGUAGAUAUCGGGAGGAACACCAGUGGCGAAGGCGACUUCUUGGCCUGUUCUUGACGCUGAGGCGCGAAAGCUAGGGGAGCAAACGGG
rnacentral:rRNA from 1 species